AUCUUCAUCCACUGCAGUACAAAGGUGUGCCAUCCAUCAUCUGGCUCUUGUGAGCAAAGCUGCACCAGGAAACGAAGAGACACUCGUAUCAAGGCUGUCUCUGGGGAGCAGACUGUUGUUUCUAGUGGAGAAGUUACUCUGGUCAUGUAAAUCUAGUGUUUUUAAUAAACCGUGCAGAACCCUGAGGUA